ACAUCCAGAGAACUUGGCAGAGAUGGCCUUGGUGCCUUCGGGAACUCUGAGACAGGUGCUGCAUGGCUGUCGUCAGCUCGUGUUGUGAAAUGUUGGGUUAAGUCCCGCAACGAGCGCAACCCUAUCCUUUGUUGCCAGCGAUUCGGUCGGGAACUCAAAGGAGACUGCCGGUGAUAAACCGGAGGAAGGUGGGGAUGACGUCAAGUCAUCAUGGCCCUUACGAGUAGGGCUACACACGUGCUACAAUGGCGCAUACAAAGAGAAGCGACCUCGCGAGAGCAAGCGGACCUCAUAAAGUGCGUCGUAGUCCGGAUCGGAGUCUGCAACUCGACUCCGUGAAGUCGGAAUCGCUAGUAAUCGUAGAUCAGAAUGCUACGGUGAAUACGUUCCCGGGCCUUGUACACACCGCCCGUCACACCAUGGGAGUGGGUUGCAAAAGAAGUAGAUAGCUUAACCUUCGGGAGGGCGUUUACCACUUUGUGAUUCAUGACUGGGGUGAAGUCGUAACAAGGUAGGCGUAGCGAG
rnacentral:rRNA from 1 species